AAUUCGAUUGAGUUUGAUCAUGGCUCAGAUUGAACGCUGGCGGCAUGCCUUACACAUGCAAGUCGAACGGCAGCGCGGGGCAACCUGGCGGCGAGUGGCGAACGGGUGAGUAAUAUAUCGGAACGUGCCCUGGAGUGGGGGAUAACGCAGCGAAAGUUGCGCUAAUACCGCACACGAUCUAAGGAUGAAAGCAGGGGACCGCAAGGCCUUGUGCUCCUGGAGCGGCCGAUAUCUGAUUAGCUAGUUGGUGGGGUAAAGGCCUACCAAGGCAUCGAUCAGUAGCUGGUCUGAGAGGACGACCAGCCACACUGGAACUGAGACACGG
rnacentral:rRNA from 1 species